UCUAAGGAUGAGUGAAAGUAAAAUUUCAUUCUAAACAAUAUACAUCGGUAAUGUUGACCGUCCUCAUUUCUCUUCUUAAAGUAGUGUUUCUCUUGCAUGGGGGCCGGUAGCUCAGUUGGUUAGAGCACACCCUUGAUAAGGGUGGGGUCGAAAGUUCGAGUCUUUCUCGGCCCACCAAUAUAAGAUCAUGGGGGAUUAGCUCAGCUGGGAGAGCGCCUGAUUUGCAUUCAGGAGGUCAGCGGUUCGAUCCCGCUAUCCUCCACCAAAAACACUUAGUUAUAAAAACUGUAAAUAAAAAUAAUAAUUAAUAUCAAUAUCUAUAUCCGAACAUUAGUAAUGUUAUUAGCUAAUGUUCAAAAUAAAAAUUUGAUUCAACACAGAAUUUUUUUCUGUGCAUAAAU
rnacentral:tRNA from 1 species